rnacentral:rRNA from 1 species
UGGGGAAUAUUGCACAAUUGGCGCAAGCCUGAUGCAGCCAUGCCGCGUGUAUGAAGAAGGCCUUCGGGUUGUAAAGUACUUUCAGCGGGGAGGAAGGGAUUAAAGUUAAUACCUUUGCUCAUUGACGUUACCCGCAGAAGAAGCACCGGCUAACUCCGUGCCAGCAGCCGCGGUAAUACGGAGGGUGCAAGCGUUAAUCGGAAUUACUGGGCGUAAAGCGCACGCAGGCGGUUUGUUAAGUCAGAUGUGAAAGCCCCGGGCUCAACCUGGGAACUGGAUCGGAUAAUGGCAAGCUUGAGUCUCGUAGAGGGGGGUAGAAUUCCAGGUGUAGCGGUGAAAUGCGUAGAGAUCUGGAGGAAUACCGGUGGCGAAGGCGGCCCCCUGGACGAAUACUGACGCUGAGGUGCGAAAGCGUGGGGAGCAAACAGG